GGGCCAAAAACAAACAAGGGAGACAGACUAGCGACAGAAAAGCCGAUCAGCUGAUCAUUAAUCAGUUUCAUGAUUGAAGUAGCAGCAAAAAGAGGCAGUCGCUCCAUAUAUCGGUUGUUAAGCUUAACGUGGGAAUGCUUUACAAACAUUCAGAGAUGAACUUACACACUUGCUUUACUUCUCUCUGGGAUCACUUCCUCGGAGAUGAAAUGCCGGUUUGGUAGCGAGGCUCCAAAUACACACAGUUACGCCAUGUCGCAAGUUUUGUGAGGUGCUUUUUUGAUAUUUAACGGAUCGGAUUACAUUUUUUAUUUCUCUCCGAUAUCCGAUCCAGUAAUUUACGUCAGUAUCGGACCGAUACCGAUACUAAAUAUCGGAUCGGUCCAUCUCUAAUAAUGACUUGAACCCAUAACUCCAUAGGAUCUGUUUUACACUGAUUUCGAGUCCAGUUCUUGUGUAAUUUGGCAAACCUUAGCCUUUUCUCCCUGCUUUCCUUCCUUAGAACUGGCUUUUUAACAGCGACCCUUCAGCUGAGACUAUUUCUGAUGAGGCUUCAGUGAACAGUAGAUGGAUAAACUGAAGGCUCACGUACAGCUGUCUGGUCCUGUAUCGGGCCUUUGCUGGAUUUAUUUUAUCCUAUUUCUUCAUGAUUUUACGAUACUGUUCAUCUGCUGCAGAUAGUUUUUUUUUUUUAGGAUUUUUUUCCUCCACUUGUUCAAUUUCCUCAAUACGGGCUAAUAGCUUUUCUGGAAUCACCUUGUUUGUGCCAAAAUACUAUUUCAUGUUUGUCAAAGUAUGUUUUUUGGGGGCAUUUUUCACAGAUUGAACUAAAGAAAAGGGAACAAAUAUGUGCUUUUACAACAGGUUGUAGUAACAAAGUGCCUGAAGAUAGCUGUCUUUUAUAUGUUGACACAAAAUUAGUUAACCCCUCGAGUUAGAUUCCUUUUUAUGUUUGGAUGAUUCAUAGGCCAGUGUUAAUGGGCUUAAAAAACAAACAAACAAAAUAUUCCUUUGAAAAUGGUCAACUGCUAGACUAAAAAUCUGGUAAAAAUGAGUCAAUGUCAAAGGAAAACUUUGAAAGACCCCUAAAAAG
ensembl:lncRNA